GCGAAAAAGUACGACAGCCCAUGUUAGGGUCCAAUCGGGUAUUGUGCCUUUGCUAAAAGGCACAGCCAAUCAGAGGAAAAAAACUUGGGCAAGUCCGACUACGACUGUGAGAAAAUAUUGAGCAGAAAAAUGACCUCAGCAUCUUUGCAAGGGUUUGACAAGCUAACAAGAUGGCUCAUAGACGGACGAGUGUACAAAGAGAAGUAUCACAGUUAAGCCAAGAGACUAAUUUUACUACAGACAAGUUAACAAGAUUCUUGUUAGCUUGAUGGCUCAUAGACAGACGAGUGUACAAAGAGAAAUAUUACAAUAAAGCCAAGAGACUAAUUUUUCUUACAGACAAGCUAACGAGAUGGCUCAUAGACGGACGAGUGUACAGAAGUAUCACAACAAAGCCAAGAGACUAAUUUUACUACAGACAAGCUAACAAGAUUCUUGUUAGCUUGAUGGCUCAUAGACAGACGAGUGUACAAAGAGAUGUAUUACAACAAAGCCAAGAGACUAAUUUUUCUUACAGACAAGCUAACAAGAUGGCUCAUAGACGGACGAGUGUACAAAGAGAAGUAUCAUCGCAAAGUUAAGACGGGUGCGUGUUAUCUAUAGAUGUUCAUCUUUGAGAAGAGGAGUUCGCCACUUGGAAAAGUGCUUGACUUAUAUGCGUGAACUCUCGUGUCUGCCCCAUUUCAAAGUUGGUGUUGCGACGGGCGGCAAGCGAGUCGGUUUUAAUUCCUUCUCUCUGCUUUUCUGGUGUUAAUAUGGUAUUGAUAUUAAAUUUUCGCUUUGUUGUAAAGAGAGCGCAAAAGUAACAGAUAUAGGGAAACGUCAUUUUUUUCUUUUUAAUUAAUUAUGUCGGCGUUAUUAAAAGAACAAACAAGACAUGAAGAUUAAUCUAAAAACAAACAAAACGGAAAUUAACAAAUCUGUCGCCGCCACAGUAAUGAGAAUUCUUGCAAACAAUUCUCUUGAUUCCAAACAAAAACAGCCAAAUAUACCGAAUAGCAUACAUAUUCUUGGUUCUAAAAGGCUGUUUUAGAUGGAAAGUGUAAGUGCAGAUAUGAUUUGACAUGCUUUGAGAAAAAGAAUUCAUUCAUUUUGCAAGACUGCAAAGUAAUUAAUUUAAAAUGGCGGGAAUUUUUGAAUUUCAAUGUCGGCUUGUUUUGUUUUUAUUGUUUUGUGUUAUAACAUAUAGAACAUAAAACGGAAGAGAGGUGAGCACGAAAAAUUAAAAAAAUCAAUCGAAUUUAUCCGAAACACCAAUGCCAGUAUACCCCUUUCUAUUGAAAUACUGUGAGAAAAAAAAUCAGGUCUCAUAUGCAUUGAGCAGAAAGUCAUAUGAUUCUAGUGAACAUUUGGAUGUAAAUUGAGGCAAAAAAAUCGUGUCUUUGUGGUUUAAAGGGGGCCACAAAAAUCGUAGAGCGGUCACGCUAAAUUCAGUGCACGCAAAUUGCUAAAAGCGUUCAUCUGCAAGUUUACGGAAACGGAAAUGAUCUACAUCACGAAAUCUCACAUGACUUACAACCGCAAUUACCAGAUUUAUAACGAGUGCUUUUGCAACAUAGUAAUCUUAUACAAAUGUCAGACACAAACAUAAGGGGAAACCAGGUGAACGGGUAAUUUGGAUGUUCAUUCAUCACCAAGAGCUCGGUAGAUAGCUCCGAAAUCUUUGAACAAUUGCCCCUGAAAUAGUUUAUAUAAUUUGUAAAGGAAUAUAAAAGAGAAAAAUAAUAUCUUUAGAAGGAAGGGAGGAUAUAAAGAGCGGGUUCCAUGUCAAAAGGUGUUAUUCAAACAGAUAUGAAGUAAAAUGUAUAGCGUUGUGUAAA